rnacentral:lncRNA from 1 species
GGAAGGUUGGGGCAGCUGGGCCAACAUGGGCUUAAGGUCAUCUUGGAGGAGGGUCCAUAUGCUCUCAAGUUUGGCACGAACGUCAUUAGGGAUUGAACUCAGUGCGACUUGGCGUGAGGCAACCUCUUCAUCAUCAGAAAGUGCAACCGCAAAGGAAAAGAGACUAUUGUUGGGGGUGUCUUGCUCCUGAGAAAGAAUAAAAAAUAAAAAUACAGAUUAGCUGAUGGUAAUAGGAAAUCGGCCGAUUUGGGUGUCAAGUUUUCUUACCUCUUUAAAGAGGAUUUCUUCUGCUUGCGCCGGUGGGAGUGCUACCCUCGUCUUGGGAACUGACGCGGCUGGUUCAUCGGAGGAAGAGGAUUCAACGAUUAUCGGUGCCGUGCUCAGGCCAGGUUCCCUGAAAAGAUCAAGAAAUGGAUCUCUAUAAGUAUGAGGCAAAUGAUUAAGUCUAAUCAUAUAUAAUGACUGCCAUACAUCGGUGAGUCGCCCGGCCGAUGGUUGUUGGAAAGGUACAAUCGAUGUGCCCAGGGUAGCCUGCAUCAAAAUCGGUUAGCUUUUGGUUAAGUGUUAAGAAAAUUGAGUUAAACAAAGACUCUCUACCUCAGUGGGAGGUAUUGCUGGCGUCCCGGUCUCUACCUGGAAUGUAGCCGAUUGCUGCGAAGAUUGCACUGGGGCGAUGUGCACAGCCUAACAGAAAGAAGAAGUUAAUACCGACAGAAUACUUAAAAGAACGCGCGGUAUACGAAGGUACCUGAACGGCUUCUACCAACAAUGAUGCAGCAGCUGCUCCAGCCUUUAUAGCAGCCUGGGGGUCGACUUCUUCGAUAAUCGGCAGAGUCGACGCAGCUAGAGAUUCAGCCGAUGCCGCCGCCGACUGAUCGGCCGAUUCUACACGGGCGCGCACCCGACGGCUCGUCUUCUUUGAGGAGGUUAUCUUUAGCUUCUGCUUCGAUCGGUCGGUGGUGAUGUCUUCGACGGUUGGGGCAUGAUAGCCGAUAAGUGGGAAUAAUGUAUAUGGAUAGCGAUUUUCUAUCGGCCUACCACUUCGGCUGCGUGUUGGAGGAAGUUGACUUUUGAACUGUAAAAGGAAAUAAAAGUUAGAAAUAAAUUCAUAAUAUAAAAGGAAUGACAUUGAAAUCGGCUGAAAAGGGAGCAGUACCACUACGUUCGGGUCGAUGUUGUCAGGAUCUAGAUCAUUGCAAUAUGUUGCGGGGGAUACACAGAAGAGGUGCUGCUUCCACUCUCCACACCAUAAUUUAAAUUGCUGGACAGCAAAAGGAGCCACCACCCAAUUGUUCAGAUCAAUGGUACUGGAAUCUGGCACUAAACUGCACAGCCGAUUAUAAUCAAGUCACUUGUGAGCUCAUCCCGGAAUUUUGCGCGGCCGGCAAAGUAAACCUGAAUCGACAACUGACCAAUGCCGAAUUGCUGUGUUGUAACUGAUGGGUUAUAAAACUCAUAAGUUGGGGAGUCCUUCCCGGAGAAGAAGUUCGCUGGUAAGAUCCCUGGUUUGAUCAAGGCGUCUAUGAGAUCAUUGUCAAAGGAAUUGGACGUCGAGUCAUAGAAAAAGGGAAGCUCACAGAGUGGUUCUGUUCUUUGGUAUGGAUACCAACUUGUGGUUUCUUCAUUAAAGCCGUUGUAGAAGCAUUAGAAAUACUCAGUUGUUUGGGUGGUGGUGAACGAGCUGCCAGGAAAGGCCGAUGCCGCCUCACAAGAAGAGGUACACCAAUGAAGCGUUCUCACAUAAGUAGAGACUAAAUGUGAUAGAAAUAUCAGUCCCAGGAGGCUGAUAACACAUUUAUUCGACAGAUAAUUCAGUUACCGUACAACUCCCGAGGCAGUGGGCAUGAGAGCCACGCAGCGAUAAGAAGUAAAUAAACAACAACGGCUAACCAAGCGACUGCCAAAAGAUAGCACUCGGGACUACACAACAGCAGCAACAUCAUCUUGGAAAGGCCAACACCACAGACAACGUUGGAUGCGGACACAACCUCUACUCAAGGUCUUCGGCGAUGAAAUCCGGGUCUUUCUCUGUAGUAAUGAAGCAAGGGUGAGUACGAACGUACUCAACAAGUCCAACCCCAUCCACGGAGGGGGAUACAAGCAAGUAUAUGCACAGGAUAUAUCAAGGAUAGGCUAGGGUUUAUUUGCAAUAAAGCUAGAUUUUCAACACAUGCAUGGGCUCGUUUUCAAACAAGUUUUCGUAAAGCUUUUCUUUAGUAACCGAAAGAUUAAGUGGGGUUGAUCCUACCCAAUAGGAUCCAAGUUUUAUCGCUAUGGACUCCCCGUCCGCCAUAGCUCACGGCACAACUGCCGGACACUUCCAAAAUCCAAUACACACACACACGUGACAUCCAUGCCCAAGUGCUAGUUAUGUGACCAAGUCAUAACUCGUCCAAUGCCGUGGACACGGCUACCCGGAUAGGUUUUAACUCUGCAGAGGUUGUACACUUUUCCCACAAGUAGGGUACCGCAGCACGAUCACCUUAGUGCCGGUGCGGAUCCUAACAAAGCCAUUACCCACCUUAGUUGAGACUAGCUAGUCCUCACGGAAGCACGCAAGGGGUUCACGGCUCAUCCAUGAGACCGUAACCGGGACCUAAGUCACCAAGAUCUUACUCCUUUUCCAUGGGCUCCCGUUGCUCACCAGCACCCCUGAAGACUAACAGUUUAGCUAGUGGGAUUUAUGCUAAGCCGUUGCCCAUACAACGGUCGAGUGGUUGCACGAUGGUGGAAUUAGGCAAGAUGACACAUCAACUCGGUCCUUAACCAUGACAAGAUGGAUAGCUCCCGACAUUGCUCAACCACUAAGGUACGAGCACAAUAUUCAGGCAUUUCACACAAGAAACACCCAUCCAUCUCAUCUACACAUUCCUUGCCUUUGAACCUGAAAACCCAUUUUCCCAUUUGAACGCACUCACGCAUUUAUUCUCCAAAUAAACCAUUGUAAUUAUGAUUGAAGUUGAGCAACGAAAUCCUAAGCAUGCUAGCAGUAGUUAUCAUCUAAACAGAGCAAAUCAUAUUUAGAGAUAACAUAGGACAACAAGGAAUGUUCAUAACAAUGAAGGGGUGGCUAUCCAACCAUGUCUUGCAAUAAAACAAUAUGCAUUUUAUAAAACAUGCCAAUAGGUUGUGUUUGAAAAACUAGGUGUUAAGUAUGCAUCAAAGGGUGAGAUUAGACUUGCCGUCUUCAAAGCCUUCCGGGAGUUUCGGCUCGUGCUGUUGGUCCUCAGGCUCGGGCUCGUGGUCAAACUCCUCCUCGGGCUCCUCCUCGGGUAAUCCGCAAUCUACGGCACACACAAACGGACACACAAAUAAAUAAAAGAAAAUCGGUUUUUAUCCGCUGAGCUCCGAACAGAAAAUGCAGACGGAAAAUAGGUAGAAGAAAUAUUUUUGGGAAAUUUGGAUAUGGAUCGGCGGAAGUAUUCUAGAGGAUGACGUGGUAAAAUUUGGGGUUAAAUGGAGGAAGUUUGGCGCAUGAAAUGACGAGUUAAACAUGAAUUAGGGGCUUAAAAAGGAGGGUUAGGACUAUUUUGCGAUAAACCAGGGACCUUUUCAUAAUUAUUUCUGGAGGUGGAGGGGUUUAUCCGAAAGAAGUGCUCGAGAGGGGUGGAAGGGCCUAUUUGUAAUUUGGUGAAAGUUGGGGGUUAGAUCGGAAAGGAGGGGCUUCUUCUUCCUUUCUUUCUGCACCGUAUCAGAGGAGGUGGAGGGGAGGGGCGGCCGGCCCGGGGGCGGCGGCCUGGGCUCGCCGGCGGCGAGGGGAAGCGGCGGGGGAGGGUAGAGGAGGCCGUGGAGGCCCCAUUUUGCUCCUUACUCUGGGGAUUUGGGAAGGGAGGGAGGUGUGGCCGGCAGGAACUUCGGGCAGCGGCGCACGGGCGGUGGCGGCGACGGCGGAAGUUGGCGCAGGUGGCUGGGAGAUGGAGUGCGGUGGGUUGUGACGGUGGUGGCUGGGGCGUUGCCCCUUUUUAUAGGCUGGCGGUAGGGGACCGGGCGGCCGGCGGGAUGGCUUGGCGGCACGGCACCGGUGGCGUGCCGGGGCGGGGAGGUAGUGGCCGACGGCGGUCGGCGUGGCGCGGGGUCGAAGGCGGGGAGGUAGGUGCCGGCGGCGGCGACGUGGAGGUGGGCGUUGGAAGGGGCCGGCGGGCGGCGCGCCGGCGCGCUGGGGCCGGCGAGGUCGGGCCGGAAAGGGGCCGGCGCCGGACGCAGGCACGGGGCCCGAGUCGCGCGGGGGCCAGGGCGGCCAGGCGCCAGAGCAGCCGAGGCGGCCGGGGGAGUAAAAGCCCCGGGGGGGGGUCUGGGUAGGGGGUGGCGUUGGGGUUGACCGGGGGGAGUGGCGCCAUGAAGAAGAAGGAAGGAGGAGAGAGAGGAAGGAAGGAAGAAGAAAGAAGAAGAAGAAAGGAAAAAGGAAAAAGAAAAAGAAAAGGGGAGGGGAAAAGGAGAAAGAAAAAGAGGGGGACCGGCGGCGGACAAUACGGGCAUGGAUAAAAUGAUGGAGGUCGGCUUGGAUGCCGGGACGACAAAAUCGCCGGGAAGAUUUUUGAUUUCCGGGAGCUCAGCGGUAGAAAGAUUUUAAAAACGAUUUUUAACGGGUGAUUUUAGGUUGGUGAUUUUGCGGAUGUUACAACCAACGACGGACUGUAGGAUCUUCCUCUGAUUCAAUGUUUGGGAAUGUUUUGGUCUAUAUCUGCUGUUGGAAGACCUUGCUGAUAUACAAGUUGAGCCAGAGGGUAAUGAACCACCAGGGACCACCUGGAUUACCAAUUGGCUCUCCGUUUGACAAUUUAACAGCAAUCUGGUGCAUCAUGUGGUAGGCCGAUCCUAAUAGGUGUUUCCCUAGAGGGACGAUGGAUCCUCUUGCCAGGGCUUCGGCCAGAGCUUGUGUGUUAGAAGAAGGGCCGACUGCUCUGCCACAAAAAAGGUGCUUCUCUAGCCACAUCAUUAAGAAGGCUGCAUAUUCUCUCUCUAAAAUCGUCCUGGUCCUCAUGUUUUUAUUGAUAUACCCCUUCCACCCGCUGAUUCCUUUCAUCUCGAGCCGAUGGGUUGGCUUGAUCAGAUAAUUAAAAGGGGUAUCAGGGGAAAAAAUGUCGAGACCAGUCAGCAUCAAAACAUCUGCCAGAGUCGGGGUCAUAGGUCCGUGCCCAAAGAGAAACGCAUUGAGCGCAUCAGACCAGAAAUAAGAGGCUGCUAUCACCAGGGGUUCAUUUUUCUCCAUCUGGGAUAAGGAUAGAUUUAUGCAUUGGCCGAUUUUCAAUUUGUCCCAUUGAACUCUUUUGGAGUUGGCCAUUCUUUGAUACCAUUCUUUCCAGCCGGGAGUUUCGUUCGUCCAAGAUUUAAAUGUGCCUGCCCACUGGCUCAAAUCCAUAGGCGAUUGCUUAAAAGGGAUCCUAUGGGUUUCUAGGUUGAUCAAGUCAGUCUGGUCUGGGUUCCCCAUAGGGCCUAGACAGAUAAGACCAGGAGCGUCGGAAAGGCGGAUGGUGAUUUGCUGUCUGAUCGCUUAAAGAAGGUAAAAAAGGAAGAACUAAGAAUAGAUCUAAAAGAUGCAUGAGCGGUAAAAAGUAAAGAGGAAGGUUUCAGGUGUUUACCUCCGGAAUGAAGCUCAUGGUCGCCGUUGGAGUUGCUGGUGAAGCCUCCAUUGCUGAUGGAGUUGCCGAUGGAGCCGCCAUUGAGGGGAAAAUGAAGCGGGAUGUAGAUGAAAGGAAAGAUCACCGGAGAGGUGAGAUUGGAAGCCAAAGGGGUGCUGGGAGGAGGUAGAAGAUGAUUCGUCGGAGAGGAAGUUACUUGGCUCGUGGAGAAGAAGCGGCAGGGGACGCCAGUAUUUAAAGACGGUCCGAGAGAAGGGGUAAAGGUGGGAUUUUUACCGCGCCGUCUACACGAAUUUCGGAGGAGCGGUUGUCUCAGGCGCCCAGUUCGAAAAGAUUGCAAUCAUCAAGUAGAAGACCACGAAACAGAAGGAGAUUUUUGCCACGUUUGUUUCGGAGAAGAGAUUAAAAAAGAAUUUCGAAGCAAAAGUGAUGUUUUACUCCGAAACUGGGGGGCAUGUGUUGACGCUAGAUUUUGACACGUAUUUUGAAUCGGCGUCAGAGAAGGAAAAGAUUGGCCGAUGCGGCGGAUUAAAAGCUGCAGUUGUGAAUCGGCCGAUUGGUGCUACAGUGUAUCGGCCGAUUGGCAAAUGAAGUUGAUAAAGGUUGGCCGAUUGGAAGGUUGGGGCAGUUGGGCCAACAUGGGCUUAAGGUGGGCUAGAAAAGAACAUAAAGAGAGAUUGGCCCAUGGGGGUAUGAUAACCAACUCCGAUACAAGUUGUGUUUGUAAAUAUUUCUUUUCGUUUAAGAUUAGAGAUAGAUCCUAGUCGGUUAGGAAAUCAGUUGUAACAGGCUGUAAAUAGCCAUCUCUAGAGAUUUGUAAAACAACACAUCAAUCAAUACAAACAACUUAUUUUUUCAUCGUACUUUACUUUCAAGUCGGCGACUUCGCCAAUACAUCUUUUUCUUUCACGAGUUCGUACAAGUUGGUAGGGCUGCAUCGACACGAUCUCCGGCCGAUUCUGUAAGUUUCGUUUAUCGAGUAAUAUCUAAGCUUUAACUUUGGGCGCAUCGCUAUUUUUUCGUUUAGAUUUAUUCACAAGUUAUC